UCACUUCAGUGGUUCUCUCACUGGGUUUGGAGUUAUGAAGUUAUGUAUAACACAAUGAAAUCUGUUUUACAACUAUUAUUAUUGUUUGCAGUUUCAUCUGAAAUAAUACUUGAACUGCAGGUGAAAUGCAUUUAGGAUGAAUAACCAAUUAGAAGAGCUCCCUUAGAGCAUUGAGUGUUUUUCCACAAUUUUCCAGUUGUGCUUCUUUAUCCCAUAAUUUUCCAGUCUUCUUUUUUGUUCAACAACACCCCACUCACAGUUCACAGUUCCAAAUAGAGACUUCCCCAGCUUCUUAUCAGUCUUGUUAAUGAGGAUGAGUUCAUUUAUCUCAUAGUUUUUAGCCAGUUUUGGCUACUCUUUCAACACCUUCCUCCAUCUUAAUUAUUAUUGAUCAUAUUAAAUCUCUCAUUUUACUCUUCAUUUAUAGCAUAACCUCAAGGAAAAGAUUAAGCAGCUAAGCUAGAUGAUGAAGGCUGUCGGUGUGUAUUUCCUCUGCUCACAGGGGUCUGGAGACAGGUAUGGAAGUGCAAGUAUGACAGAACUGGGUUUAAUGACACAAUCUAAAUAAUAACGCAUCCUGCAUGUAUUUAGCCAUGUUACUUUCUCUGAGCCCUUUCACAUACCAUCUCUCUGCCAUCAACUUAGGUAAUUGAGAUGACAACAAACAUGCCCUUACUGGAGAGAGGAAACAAAGCCACAUCUGGUUUGUAAACUAUCUGUUGAGUCAUUUCUUCCUUGGCAACGCUUCUAAUGCCUGGUGCCUUCUCCAGGGAGCAGGUGCAGAGCUGCUGGUGUUUUUCCCACAGAGAAGCACUUUAGACUCACAACUGCUGAGAGCUGAAUCGAUGUUCUCUCAGCCUCCAUGAACACUCUCCCACUUUUAACCUAAGUCAUCUUCACUUGCUUAUAGUCAAGGAAACCCAAGAUGCACUUUACCUGCAAGCUCAAAGAGAGUGGAAACCACCUGUGACUCAACAGCCAGAAGAGACCCAGCUGUUUGAAUAAGUAGAGAUGCUUCCUGUAGUAGGCAAGGUUCUUAGUGAUCUCUUCUCUGGGCAGCAAGACCUAACAAAGGACAAGAUAGAUAAUUUCUGCCUAAAAUUAUCUGCUUAAAAUAUCAAAAUAUCAGAGUUACUUGGCGCUUCACAGAUACAAAGUCAUAAAUGGUGACAUGUUAGUGAGCCAAAAUCACUGUCAAUAAGCACACACUAAAGACUAAAGCGAUUGAACAGAAACAGAACAUGGGUCUCCAGAAUCAUGGUCUGUCUAUUCUGUUUUUAGAUUACUGCAAGCUACCAUUUUUUUCAAAGUUCCCUUCAAACAUCUGAAUUCAUGAAAUGAAGGAAAUCCAUGAGUCCAUGAAUUAGCAAUGGAUUCAAGCAUAACAACAAUUGUGAAGAUGGCACAGGACCCAGCAGUGUUUCGUUCUGUUGUACAUAAGGUCACUAUGAGUCGGAACCAACUUGAUGGCACCUAACAACAACAACAACAUGAAUUAACUUGAUAAAUACUUACAGCAUACAAAAGAAAAAUUACGCAUUAGGUGAUGGCUCUGAUCAUCCUCCUAAUAUGGAGCCUGGUCAGCCAGAUUUCCUUCAUGGAAAGCAGAUUGACAUGGAUGAUAGAUAGAAACAUCUGCCCAAAUCAAAGCCAUUGUACAGAAUAGAAUUAUUCUUCCAGAGACUCAUCACGCAAACAGAGAUGCCUGCCAUACAUCAAAAUUAUCAAAGCUGAAUAAGUGAAGUCCCUACAGCCUGAGAGGGCCAGUGGUUCCAGCCUGUGGAGUAGGAAAACCAACUCAAUGUAGUAGAAGCAAACAGCCCCUGAAGUUCCCUCAAACUUCCUGAAGUCCAAGCCCACAAAACUGAGGCCCAGAGACAGGCAGGAGUCCUGGACUUCCAGAGUCUGGUUUCCUGUGUGAAGACCUGCCUGCUUCCUUCUGAGCCGUCCACCCCUCAGAGAAGACUACAUUCACUCCCAGGGUGAAGCCUUACCCUACAGGCCACAUCAGGAAAAUGGCCAUCUCAGGACAGCACAGCAUCCCUGACAUUUAUACCACAGGUAUCCACAUAAAUAGUGAAAGAUCCUUCCAUUAUUUGGGUUCUUAAAAAUCCCAAAAAAGAGACUCUUGAGAGCACUGCUUUUCUGUGGAAAAUUCCAUCUUUAACAGAAGUCUUAAGAAAGGUGCAUUAAAACUUCCAGAGGAAAUUGUCCACAUACCC